GCAAAGUAAGAACAAGUCUUCAAUUAAAAAUAGUGGACAUCGUUACGCGUCUCUCUUCAAUGAAUUUCUCCGAGGCAGUAACCACUCCAAUUUUGAUUCUCAAAACUAGCUUUGUUUCUGGCCUUUCAUACAUCUCAACACAGACAAGCUAGUAGGUCUAUUUUCCUCUCUCCACCAUGACCACUACGUAGGGACGCUGAUGAAGCUUCCUACCAUGCUCAAAAGUUUAAGAAUUGAUUGGCAUCUCUGACAGAUUGGACUUGUUGCGGGGAACCUUCGGUGAAGUUGUGAAAGAAUAGGGAGUCAUUCGUGCAAGCACUUCCAAAUAAAAAUCUGAACCUUGUGAGAGAUUUUUCAUUUUCAGAUCUUUGAUAUAGGCAACUUGAAAGGACUGCAUGUGAGAUGCCAUAAUUGGAAGAAUACUCAUAGGAUAAGAAAGAUGCAGCCACGCGUCUGAAAAAAUAUGAAUUGAAGUUCCAGAACCAACUCUUCAAUGGAGGCCCUUUCCAACUACUUUUUGGCCCUCCAACAUAUAUACUGUGCCAUCCCCAAGAAGAUAUGUUCCCUGCUUCUGCAUACAUAAUAUUAUCAUAUCUAUAUUAUUUAUCUCUGUAUAUCUGGGCUAGGAUAGUCUGUGAUUUUAUUGUGAUUCUCCAAAACUACUUGCCUAAUAGAGCUAGGUUUUAAGCUCUGAGAUCUUUAAACCCGAGACCCCUAUCCUUCUUUGGUUGAGUUAUCUGCUCGCCUAUAACCCUUAGGAGAACUUGCCUGCCUCCAGCUAACUAUAGAUUCCGUUGCCAUCCAUGCACCUUUUUCGUUACUUUCUCCUUGAUUUCACUAAAAGUUUUUCUAUUAGAUUUCUGGAUAAGAGAAGGAAGCCCCAAAUACUUAUUCUGAGCUCCAAUGUGAGUGAUAUUUAAUCUAUCUGCUAUAUGUGUCCGAAUCUGAGGAGGGGUGCUGUUGUUGAAAAAGAGUGACUUGUUGACUACUAACGCUUUCAUAUGAAUUGAGCAAGUUCAAAAUAUUUUCAUAAUUCUCGUCUGAGACCUUAUAAAAUAGGAUAGACUCAUCAACAAAUAAAAAGUGAUUUAUAAUAAGACAUUGUCGAUUAAUCUGAAUUCUCGGGAUCUAUCUGUUUUGUUCUGUUUUGUGUAGCAAGAAAAAAAUCUUCUGCACAGAAAAAGAAAAGAUAGAAAAAGAGAGUCACCCUAUAAAACUCAAUUAAUUAAUAAAUAAUUAACUCAUAAAUUAUAAUUUAUUCUAAAAAAUAAGAAAUCUGAUUUUUUUUAUAGUUUGAUAUGAUAGAGAAAAUUAAAACAAGAAUUUUGACACUAAUUUUAAAGAAUUCGAUCCAAAAUUAGGACAAACGGAUCGAACCGGGCGAUCCGGGCAUGUAUUGGGCCCAAGGCCCAACCCACUCCACUCACACUUAAUGAGUCAGCACACCCCCUCUCCCUCCAUUGGCAUUUCACAUUGGAAACUUGAAGAAAGGGGGAGAGCUUCCAAAACACAAACCCUCACCUUUCAAAUUUCAAUCCUUGAUAACUUUUGAUCUGAAACUCCGAUCGCCACACUAUUUGCGGCCACGCGACCACAGCGUCAAGCUUCACAAAGGCCAUAAUAUUGUUCAAGAGGUAAGCCAUGUUUUCCUUCCAGUUUUUUCAGCCCUUGAUUUUGAAAAUUUUGAGUGAAAUAUUGAGAUUUUGAGCUCUUUGAGGUUAUAUGAUCCAAUUAGCUUGAGGGGAAGGCUUAAUCUCACCCCUUUGAUCCUUGGAUAUGGUAAGAUUCUCAAUCCUAAGUGAAAUACUUGAAUUAUUGUGAUUAGUUGUUAAGUUUGUAUGUGUGGGUGUAUGUUAUGUGUAUUAGGCAAUAUAUGUAUGUAAGUGGAUUGAAGUUUGAUGGAGAUUUUGCGAGCUUGAAGUGGAUUGCAAGCUAAAAAUCUGUUUUUAGAGGUGUUGAGUCUUGAAAGUUGAGAUGAUGAUUGGUAAUUAUAAGGGUUGACUUGAAGUUGAAAUUGUGCUUGAUAUGUAUAUUUGAUGUUGUAUAUUGAAUAUUGGAAAAUUGGAAGUACUGGGUUGGAAUUUGAUGAAAAUGGAGAAUUGGUAAGAUGAUAAAUGUGUAUUGUAUAUCGUUAAAUUUGAAAUAUGAGUUGAGAGUGGCUUGAUGCUGAAUGGCUAAGUUUUGGUCGAUUUUAAAAAGGGUUGGAAUUGGUUUGUGUUGAAAAAUGGAGGUUUUGUAAAGUUUUAGGAAAAUCAUAUUUUUGGCCAACUUUGACGAAGGAUAACUUGGUGUUCAGACUUUCGAUUUAUUUCAAAUUUGUUUAGAAAGAAAACUUGUUCCAAGAUGUUUAAGCCUUUCGAAGAACGCAGGAAAAAUAUUUUAAAAUGAGAAAGUUAUGCUCGAUCAAAGUUUGUUGUACAAGCUAAAAAUUUUGGACUUAGCAACUUUUUGGAGCUGCUGCAUUGUAUGCGUACGCAUACAUUUUCAUACGUGGACAUGCGCUUCUGUUUGGUGCAUUUGCAUACGCAAAAAGGGAACUGCAUACGCGAAAUGGGACAAAAUGCACGCUCACGCAUACGCAUGCGCGACAUGGUCCAAACGCGCGCUCAUGCGUACGCGUGACCCUGUUUUUAGAAAAAAUGAGUUUUGUAUUUUAAAACCAAAUUUCAAACCUCUAAACCUCUAUUUUCAUACUUUUAACCUUUGAUCUUAGUAGUAAACCUAGUAAUGAGAUGAAACUCGAAAAGAUGAGGUAUCUUAGGGGUGAAGUAAGGUUGGAAGGUGUGUGUUAAUUUAUAUAUAUGAUGCCAUAGCUAUGAUGAAUGGUUGUGAAAUGAUUACGUAUGAUUGUGAAUGAAUGUGAUUAUUGAGACUUUGUUCAUGAUGAGAAUGUAUGAGUUUCUCUCUGUUGUAAGGUGCGUCAGGCACUAUAUGCCAUUAGUGUGAUGAGCACUAUAUCCCAAAAGCGUGGCAUGGUGGGUGUUAUAUCCUAAGAGUGUGGGAGCACCUUACCCCAAGAGCGAGCGUGGCAUGGCGGGUGCUAUAUCUCAAGAGUGUGGGAGCACUUUGUCCCAGGAAAUGCGAUGGGCACUAUAUCCCGAGAGUGUGACAAACACUAUAUCCCAAGAGUGUGGAGACAUAGAGAGACGAUGUUUGGGUUAACUGCCGGGUGUGUUGGGUUCUCGCAAGUAACCAACACAUGAGCUCACGGCCAGUAGAAAAGACAUGCAUCAUACGCAUCUGUUUGUUUUGUUUGAGUUUGCAUUAUUUGGGAUUGCCUUUGUGAAAUUACUAUACUUACUUGCUAUAUGAUUUUCUUGUUGUACCUGCCUUCUACCUGUGUUUGCUUUGCCUAUUUUAUUUAUCUGUGUGGUUCUAUCGGAAUUUCGGAGGAUUGGAGGAAAAGCGAUGAUUUUAAGGGUUAAGUUAGAAUUGAAAUAAGUUAGAACUCUUUAGAUACCUUGCCUUAUUUUAUGAUCUUAAAUAUUGGUUUUAAGUUUAAAUUUAUUGUCGGCAGUUCUAGGAUUGCCUUCGAUUUUUUCAGAACAUUAUAUGUUAGAUAUGUGGGCACUGUUACCAUGCUGAGAAGCUCCAGUUCUCACCUAUGUGGAUUUUGUGAUUUUCAGAUGCAGGUCAGGCGGUACCUCGCUGAGGCAUGCUGGAAGCUUCUGAUUAGCGAAGAUCCUUAUCUUUUGGGGCUCUAAUUGGUUAUAUGUAUUUAUUUAGAUACUUAUUAUCUCCACUUCUAUAUAUAUGAUGUAUUAACUUCCUCUUAGAGGUUAUUUUGGAGAAACAGGUUCUGUAACUUUAUAUUUUGAGUUUUCUAUAUGUAUGUAUGUAUAUAUAUACUUAUGUGCUCGAGCCGGUUUAUCUUCGCGAGCCAAGUCUUGAGUUUUGUUAUCUGUAUUUUGGAACUCUUAGAGUACAAUCUUGUUAGCUUGA